UACGAAGGGGGCUAGCGUUGCUCGGAAUUACUGGGCGUAAAGGGCGCGUAGGCGGAUGUCUAAGUUGGGGGUGAAAGCCCGGGGCUCAACCUCGGAAUAGCCUUCAAUACUGGAUAUCUUGAGUUCGGGAGAGGUGAGUGGAAUGCCGAGUGUAGAGGUGAAAUUCGUAGAUAUUCGGCGGAACACCAGUGGCGAAGGCGACUCACUGGCCCGAGUACUGACGCUGAGGCGCGAAAGCGUGGGAGCAAACAGGG
rnacentral:rRNA from 1 species